UACGGAGGAGGCAAGCGUUAUCCGGAAUUAUUGGGCGUAAAGCGUCCGCAGGUGGCGAUUCAAGUCUGCGGUUAAAGACUGGAGCUUAACCCUGGAAAGGCCGUGGAAACUGAAACGCUAGAGUGCAGUAGGGGUAGAGGGAAUUCCCGGUGUAGCGGUGAAAUGCGUAGAGCUCGGGAAGAACAUCGGUGGCGAAAGCGCUCUGCUGGACUGCAACUGACACUCAGGGACGAAAGCUAGGGGAGCGAAUGGG
rnacentral:rRNA from 1 species